AGUUAGAACAGAGACAUUGAUCAUUUACCUUAAUUUGGGCACUUUGGCAAAUGGGAGUUAGUAGUGCAACCGGCUGGCAUCAUA
rnacentral:ncRNA from 2 species